UCAGUACACGUAGUCAACAUGCCAGGGGACGUGGAUACUCGGGAAACUGAGGCUAAACCGCGAUAGGUCACUACUUCUGGAAUGGGUAAUGACCCAAACCUAUAUGGCCCCUGGAUUGGACUGCGGCCGAUCAGGCUGUUGGUGAGGUAAUGGCCCACCAAACCUGUAACCGGUACGGGCUCUGAGAGGAGGAGCCCGGAGAUGGGCACUGAGACAAGGGCCCAGGCCCUAUGGGGCGCAGCAGGCGCGAAACCUCUGCAAUAGGCGAAAGCUUGACAGGGUUACUCUGAGUGAUUUCCGUUAAGGAGAUCUUUGGCACCUCUAAAAUGGUGGCAAAAUAAGGGGUGGGCAAGUCUGGUGCCAGC
rnacentral:rRNA from 1 species